UACGGAGGGGGCUAGCGUUGUUCGGAAUUACUGGGCGUAAAGCGCGCGUAGGCGGACCUGCAAGUCGGGGGUGAAAGCCCGAGGCUCAACCUCGGAACUGCCUUCGAUACUGCGGGUCUCGAGUCCGGGAGAGGUGAGUGGAAUUCCUAGUGUAGAGGUGAAAUUCGUAGAUAUUAGGAAGAACACCAGUGGCGAAGGCGGCUCACUGGCCCGGUACUGACGCUGAGGCGCGAAAGCGUGGGGAGCGAUCCGG
rnacentral:rRNA from 1 species